UACGGGGGGAGCAAGCGUUGUUCGGAUUUACUGGGCGUAAAGAGCGUGUAGGCGGCCAAACAGGUCCGUUGUGAAAACUGGAGGCUCAACCUCCAGACGUCGACGGAAACCGUGUGGCUAGAGUCCGGAAGAGGAGAGUGGAAUUCCUGGUGUAGCGGUGAAAUGCGCAGAUAUCAGGAAGAACACCAAUGGCGAAGGCAGCUCUCUGGGACGGUACUGACGCUGAGACGCGAAAGCAUGGGGAGCGAACAGG
rnacentral:rRNA from 1 species